rnacentral:ncRNA from 1 species
GCUGACCGCGCGGGAGAGUGUUCGUGAUUCGUCCCUAGGGACGGGAAACGAACCGCCGAAGGAGCAACCGCCCCGGAAUCUCUCAGGCACAAGGGACCGUGCCGGUCGA